ACUUGAAGCCUCACUUAACAUAAAAUUUUCUUGCAAAUUUAGAUUACAAUUCUCAAAAAUAGAACACAGAUUACUUUUGUAUUUACGUAAUUUAAAACAACCCUUAUUUAAUUCUUGUGCAAUUGAUUUUUGGAUAUAAUUUAGCUCUUCGAUAUCAUUAGAACCAGUUAUGAGGUCAUCGACAUAAAAAUCCUUUUGUAUAAUGUUUUUGAUAAGACUAUCGUCGCAUUCAUCUCCUAUCUGCCAUAGACAUCGCGUGCUUAAAUAGCUGGCACUUGCGGUACCGUAAGUGACAGUAUUUAGCUGCAUUGUUUUGAUUGGUAAAGACUCGUCCUCUCUCCAUAAAAUCAGCUGUAAAUUUCUGUCGUCUGGAUUGACCUCUAUUUGGCGAUACAUUUUCUCGAUAUCUCCGGUCAACAGGUAUUUGUAUGUUCUAGCUCGAAUUAGUAUGGAGAAAAGAGAAUCCUGUAUGUUAGGUCCAAUCAUUAGCAAAUCAUUAAAUAAAUAAAUAAAUAAAUAUUUACACAAUACACACACGGUCGUCUGUUCCUAAAGUAAGCAACUUAAUGCUUGUGUUAUAGGUAACAGCCGACUGUUAUAACUAAAUUUUGUUUAUAAAUAUAUAUAGAAACAAGCUGACCCCGCAAACUUUUCUUUGCCAUAUAUGUUACUAACCCGCUUAAUCCCCCCCUCCCCCUUAUAAC
rnacentral:misc_RNA from 1 species